AUAAUGUGUUAGGCAGUAACGACGACCCUUUAACUCAUAAUGUCUAUAUCUACAUUAGC
rnacentral:lncRNA from 1 species